CGGGACACGUGGUAUCCUGUCUGAAUAUGGGGGGACCAUCCUCCAAGGCUAAAUACUCCUGACUGACCGAUAGUGAACCAGUACCGUGAGGGAAAGGCGAAAAGAACCCCGGCGAGGGGAGUGAAAAAGAACCUGAAACCGUGUACGUACAAGCAGUGGGAGCACGCUUCGGCGUGUGACUGCGUACCUUUUGUAUAAUGGGUCAGCGACUUAUAUUCUGUAGCAAGGUUAACCGAAUAGGGGAGCCGAAGGGAAACCGAGUCUUAACUGGGCGUUAAGUUGCAGGGUAUAGACCCGAAACCCGGUGAUCUAGCCAUGGGCAGGUUGAAGGUUGGGUAACACUAACUGGAGGACCGAACCGACUAAUGUUGAAAAAUUAGCGGAUGACUUGUGGCUGGGGGUGAAAGGCCAAUCAAACCGGGAGAUAGCUGGUUCUCCCCGAAAGCUAUUUAGGUAGCGCCUCGUGAAUUCAUCUCCGGGGGUAGAGCACUGUUUCGGCAAGGGGGUCAUCCCGACUUACCAACCCGAUGCAAACUGCGAAUACCGGAGAAUGUUAUCACGGGAGACACACGGCGGGUGCUAACGUCCGUCGUGAAGAGGGAAACAACCCAGACCGCCAGCUAAGGUCCCAAAGUCAUGGUUAAGUGGGAAACGAUGUGGGAAGGCCCAGACAGCCAGGAUGUUGGCUUAGAAGCAGCCAUCAUUUAAAGAAAGCGUAAUAGCUCACUGGUCGAGUCGGCCUGCGCGGAAGAUGUAACGGGGCUAAACCAUGCACCGAAGCUGCGGCAGCGACACUGUGUGUUGUUGGGUAGGGGAGCGUUCUGUAAGCCUGUGAAGGUGUACUGUGAGGUAUGCUGGAGGUAUCAGAAGUGCGAAUGCUGACAUAAGUAACGAUAAAGCGGGUGAAAAGCCCGCUCGCCGGAAGACCAAGGGUUCCUGUCCAACGUUAAUCGGGGCAGGGUGAGUCGACCCCUAAGGCGAGGCCGAAAGGCGUAGUCGAUGGGAAACAGGUUAAUAUUCCUGUACUUGGUGUUACUGCGAAGGGGGGACGGAGAAGGCUAUGUUGGCCGGGCGACGGUUGUCCCGGUUUAAGCGUGUAGGCUGGUUUUCCAGGCAAAUCCGGAAAAU
rnacentral:rRNA from 1 species